AAGGUUGCUCACUCUUCUGCCACACCUGAGCAGUGGUGGGUUUCGCCAAGUUCUAGUUUUGUGUAGAUUAACUUGCCUAAAGUUACUCUAACUGAAUAAAUGUCAAAUUCCUUAUCUGUGAUGUGGGAAUAACAAUGCCUACCUAACAGCGUUGUUGUAAUGUAUUAAGGUGUCUGAGAAAAAUUCAAAGUCAGAUCCAGAAUAUAGUGUUAUCACAGGGGAAAAUUUUUAUGUAGAGCGGGAUAUUGUACAGUCUUGAAGUAUCUCCAUAUGGAUUGCUUAUCUAUUGCAAGAGAAUAAAAUAAUAACUACACACUGGAGUAGCUGGACUGUACCUUGGUCAGGUGAUCAAAAUUUAUAUUAACAAGGAAAAUAGAUGAACAUGAUAUGUCUCCACAUGUGAUAUCCUAAGAAGACCAUAAAAGGACUUGUGUAGCACUCUUGCUAAGAGUAUGCAAAUCAAUAUGCCUGCUAAGAAUGCUAACAUGAAUCUAGUUCUGAGG
rnacentral:lncRNA from 1 species